rnacentral:rRNA from 1 species
GACGAACGCUGGCGGCGUGCUUAACACAUGCAAGUCGAACGGAAAGGCCCUGCUUUUGUGGGGUGCUCGAGUGGCGAACGGGUGAGUAACACGUGAGUAACCUGCCCUUGACUUUGGGAUAACUUCAGGAAACUGGGGCUAAUACCGGAUAGGAGCUCCUGCUGCAUGGUGGGGUGUGGAAAGUUUCGGCGGUUGGGGAUGGACUCGCGGCUUAUCAGCUUGUUGGUGGGGUAGUGGCUUACCAAGGCUUUGACGGGUAGCCGGCCUGAGAGGGUGACCGGCCACAUUGGGACUGAGAUAAGGCCCAGACUCCUACGGGAGGCAGCAGUGGGGAAUAUUGCACAAUGGGCGGAAGCCUGAUGCAGCAACGCCGCGUGCGGGAUGACGGCCUUCGGGUUGUAAACCGCUUUCGCCUGUGACGAAGCGUGAGUGACGGUAAUGGGUAAAGAAGCACCGGCUAACUACGUG